UACGGGGGGAGCAAGCGUUGUUCGGAUUUACUGGGCGUAAAGGGCGCGUAGGCGGCCAGCACAAGUCAGUUGUGAAAUCUCCGGGCUUAACUCGGAAAGGUCAACUGAUACUGUGCGGCUAGAGUGCAGAAGGGGCAACUGGAAUUCUCGGUGUAGCGGUGAAAUGCGUAGAUAUCGAGAGGAACACCUGCGGCGAAGGCGGGUUGCUGGGCUGACACUGACGCUGAUGCGCGAAAGCUAGGGGAGCGAAGCGGG
rnacentral:rRNA from 1 species